rnacentral:rRNA from 1 species
UACGUAGGGGGCAAGCGUUGUCCGGAUUUAUUGGGCGUAAAGAGCGUGUAGGCGGUUUGGUAGGUCCGUUGUGAAAACUCGAGGCUCAACCUCGAGACGCCGGCGGAAACCAUCAGGCUAGAGUCCGGAAGAGGAGAGUGGAAUUCCUGGUGUAGCGGUGAAAUGCGCAGAUAUCAGGAGGAACACCGAUGGCGAAGGCAGGUCUCUGGGCCACUACUGACGCUGAGAAGCGAAAGCAUGGGGAGCAAACAGG